UCCGGCUUCUCGCCGGCAGUCCUCUUUGAGUACCCGGCAUAACCCGCUGGCAACAAAGAGCAAGGGUUGCGCUCGUUGCGGGACUUAACCCAACACCUCACGGCACGAGCUGACGACAGCCAUGCAGCACCUGUGCUGGUACCCGACUCUACGGGUCGCCGACCCUUUCGGGUGACUACUGCCAACAUGUCAAACCCAGGUAAGGUUCUUCGCGUAACAUCGAAUUAAGCAACACGCUCCGCUGCUUGUGCGGGCCCCCGUCAAUUUCUUUGAGUUUUAGCCUUGCGGCCGUACUCCCCAGGCGGGGUACUUAAUGCGUUAGCUACGGCACGGAUCCCAAGGAAGGAAACCCACACCUAGUACCCACCGUUUACGGCGUGGACUAC
rnacentral:misc_RNA from 1 species